UCUGCAACUCGACUACAUGAAGCUGGAAUCGCUAGUAAUCGCAGAUCAGAAUGCUGCGGUGAAUACGUUCCCGGGUCUUGUACACACCGCCCGUCACACCAUGGGAGUCGGAAAUGCCCGAAGCCGGUGACCAAACCAAUAAGGAAGGAGCCGUCGAAGGCAGGUCUGAUAACUGGGGUGAAGUCGUAACAAGGUAUC
rnacentral:rRNA from 1 species